GGGGCCUUCCCGGCUCGGCGCUGUCCCCAACAUUCCCACUCCAGGUUGUGGUCCCUGCACUGUUCGAUCCAUGUAUUGUGCGUCGGGGGUCGCUUGUCAGACCUGGAGGGGCGCUCAGGGACCGGGCGUUGUUAUGGGCACCGAGGGUGACGGUGGGGCUAAGACAGAACCCCUUGCCCUCGGGAAGCCCCCGGACCAGUAGGGGAUACAGACGAGCCACCGUUCGUACUAGCUGGCUAGUUUGCUGUAGGUGCUGUGGCCCAGGCGGCAGUCCCGCCGCGCCGCGCCCCUCGCCCGCCCCGCCACCCCUAGAGCCGCGGCGACGCCUGCUGGACCGAGAGGGGGGCUGCAGGCACCGUGCGAUCCAGACGCAGACCACACCGGGCACUUCCGCUCUGAGACUCGGCUUCCUCCGGUCCCCUCCCCGUCCCAGCCCCAGCCUGCCCAGGCGGCGCUCCUCUGGGCUCCUGCUUUGGACUACCUCUCACCGCUGACUUAUGCGUCUGUGUUGGCUCUCGGCACCGCCACCCCCAGGCAAACAUCUGGGCUCAGUGGCGGGAGCUGUCUGAGGUGGCUGUCUGUCUGUCUGUCUGUCUGCCUGCCUGUCUGGGAAAUUCCCCUAGUGAGUCCUUUGUGGGAAUUCCCGAGGGACAGGGUUAGCCUUCCGAGUGCCCUAGGAGAGCCCGGCCUGUGGGAGACGUGCUAUCCACCUGUGAGGGCGGGGCGCUGCCCUCCUGCGGGUGCCAGUUUCCCCGUCUGGACCAGGCAGAGAGUGAUUGCCACUCCCUUGCCCAGCGCCCUGUGGUUGGAGGUGGGGAAGGCCAGGGCCAGUGUCCUGGGGCACUGUCUAACCCCGGCAGCCCCUGAGGGCAUCUCUGGGCAAUGGGGUGAGGUGGGAGGGGAUUCCCUGGUGAGUCCUGGGCCCAGAGCAGCUUCUGCUCUGUGUUCUUUUGGAGAAUACAGCGUGUAUUUCCCACUUUAUUAAUGAUGUGAGCGGUUUUUCAAAAGUUGGAAAAUAGAGAACAGGAGUACAGAGGGGUGGGGCCUGCCAGCCGCCCCUGGGCUGACACCUUUGUCCCUUGCCUGCCAGCCUUUGGCUUGAGAUUUUGUUUGCUUGCUGUUAGCUAGUGUGAUAAGUAUGCCUCAUUUCUGCUGUGUCCUUCUUUUUGCCUUUUAACUUCCAUCUUAUACUCUUUGUAAACAGCAUUUUUAAUGGCAGCGUAAGUGUCUCUCAGAAUGCAGAGAUGCAGAAAUAAAUAUCCACACGCACACACUCAAGCACUCCUCAGUUGCUAAGCAGGGCUGAUUGCUUCUUGGAACUUACAAACAACCCUGACAUUGACUUUCAGUCAGCAAGCAUGUAUGGAGCGCCCGCUCUGGCCCGGGCCCUGGUUUAGGGCUGGGGGCUUCGUGCAGGACAGUAGGCGAGGGGCUCACGUGGUAGAUGAACUCGACAUCUGCUUCCUUCGAUUUUGGAGAAUUUUCAUGUUGCCGCAUGGAAGCCAGAUUCUUCUGACCACUGGUCCAGUCCUCUCCCUGGGGGCGCAGGUGGCCAGAACCUGGUGGAUGUGUCCCCUGGGGGUUUUCCAACUCCAGAGGGGGGCCAGGCUCAGAGAGAAGGUGGAAUUCUUCCCCUGGGAGUCCCCUCGGGGAAGAGGAGGUGGGGCAGGACGGGGCGUAGGAGGUAGUCGGGGCCUGGGCAGUGCUGAGGAGGAUGGGAUCCUGGCUUCUGCACAGAAAGCAGAAACACCAGGAGGCAUUGUGUACAGGUGCCUCUUGCACCAAAAACUGACUAAUCACUCCCGUCACUGUCCUGGGAGGCCCUGGGGACUCUGAGGUAUAUCCUUGCCCUAGAGUAAUCUAGUCUCUUGGCAAAUACGUAAUUAGAAUAUAAGAUAAGAGUUAUAAUAGAGGCAUAAGAGACAACAGGCUGUGGGCUCAGCGAGGAAGGAAUGUUUACUUGGGAUGAGGGGGCCUUCACAGAGGAGGGGAUACUUGAAAUGGGUUUUGGAAGGUGAGUGGGCAUGCACAUCGAGAGAGGAGGGAGCAGGCAGAGGGGUGGGAGGCUGUGCAGGAGCACUCCGAGGGAGCUACAAGUACAGAAUGGGUCUGGGGGGGUGUGACAGGAGGUGAGAGCAGGAGGUGGUUUGGGGGCCACGUUGCCAAGGUCAUUGAGUCCAGGCUUGGGAUUUUGACAUCGUUCUGUGGCUCACUGAUACUUGAAUAGAGCACUAGGAUUUGUAUUUUAGAAUGUGGGUCACAGAGGGGGAGCUGGGGGGGUGGCUAGCUCCCGUGGGAGUGUGCGGGGCCAGGGGACGGGUUAGACGCUGGAGGAGAGCCGAGCCCCAGGCACGGGCAGGGAGGAGGCUGGGGGGGCAGAAACGCCGCUUCUGCGUAGGGAAUGCAGGACAGGAACAGACCUGGGGGGCAAACCAAGUACCGGUUUAAACAGGAGGUUUAUGUUUCCCGAAGCACAGAGCGCUCUGGAAGCAGGAUGGCCGCUCAUCCGUGUGGUCAUGGAGCCAGUGCCCUCUGCUUGUCCGCUUUGCCGCCCUCAGCACCCUGGUCACAAGGUGGUGGCCUCGGCCACAGAGCUACAUGCCCGCGGUGGGAGGGGUGGGGUGUGAGGUCUUCUCCUUUUAAAGACCUCUUUUUAUCUGGUAAGGAAAUCUUUUCUAGCAACUUCCUAGACCGAUUAGCCUCAGGGGAAAAAACUGGCUCGGUGUUCAGGGCCCGACCUACACCUUCCAGGGAGGGGAAGGGACGCUCUGUCUGGGGUGGGGCCCACCUCCCCCACAUGGGGCCUACUCUGCUCCCAGUAGAAACCUGUUAGCCUGGGGGAGGGGUGGGCACCGAACAGAGCCCCGUGCCCACUCUGGGACUUCCACGGGAGGGUCCCAGAGGGCAGCCAGAGGGGGGUGGUCUGGAGCUCGGGAGGGGUGGGGUGCUUUGGGACAUGGUGGUGAGCCUUGAGUCUCUAGGCAGGGAAGAAGAGACUGCUGGAUGUAGGGCUAGGAGUCCCUCUGAGACGGAAGCGAAAGGGCCCCACCAAAACUGCCUCUGCUCUUGCGAGGACCCUCCCCCACACCUUACACGCGCCUCCGGGAAGAGUGCAUAUCCUCCGGUGAAGGUCAAGGGGUCAGUGACCUCUUCCAGCACAGCAGUCAGCGGCUAAGGAGUGACGGGCAGGAUCACGGUUUCCAAGACCACCGACUCCCCUAGACCCCAGGCCAAGAAGGACUAGAGGAUCAGCACAGAAAACGUGGAGAAGCACAGAGGUGACAGCGCCCUCGGGAGCGGGCCCAGCUGGCCCCUUCCCCACAGCUCGGCAGGUUUUAUGGCGAAUGUCUUUGUGAGGCUGCGGUUUAAUGCCCGUGUUACGGCCCGCUCGGAACCCCUUGCGUUUGUGUAACAUUUUAUGACCUUCCAGUGUGUUCGGCUGCGUAUUUUA